GCCUCUGCUGAAUAACCUGUUGCGACGACCAUUUGAUUUUGUGGGAGGGGCAGGUUUUUUUUUUUUUUUUUAAUUUAUAAACUUUGCACAAGACAGGAUGAAAAUGUACACUCACAAGGCAGACUUUUUGAUUUCGAGUUAAAUGAUCAUUUCAUUAAGGGCAAUAUUCAAAUUGCAUAGAACUUCAAGUGAGAGAAAAAGACACCCGUUCAAGUUAAAUACUGGUUGAUACUUUUUGUAUUCAUCAGAAAAUUAUAAUUACG
rnacentral:lncRNA from 1 species